UGAAGACAUUGCACAGAAGAUACACAAAUGGCCCUUAAAUAUAUGAAAAGAUGCUCAGCUUCGCUUAUGAUAAAAGAAAUGCAAAUUAAAAUCGCUGGGAUAGCAUUUCUCACUCUUGGCAUAUAUGUAAAAGCUUGAACACAUUCUCUUGGUGACGUUUUGGGAAACAGGCAUGCUCUUGUAUUGCUGUGGGAGUGCAGGGUGGUACAGUCCUCUUGGAGGGGAGCUUGGCAUUAUCUGUGUGUGCAUUUACCCUCAACUUCACAGUCCCACUUCCAGUCAUUUACCCUGAGGAUAUACCUCCCCAGGUGCGAAACACCAGAUGCAUGGGGUUAUUCAUUGCAGCAUUAUUUGUGAUAUAAAAAUGGAAACAACCUAGAUGUCCACCCAGGAUGAGUGAACCAAGGUACAUCAACUUAACUUAGAACUGUACAGCUGCAAAAAUAAAAAAGGAAGAUUUCUAUGAACUGGUAAGAGUUAUUUCUAAGAUGUAUUAAGUGAAAAAAGAAAGUAUUGAUACAAAUUAAUAUGCAUACUAUGUGGUAGGAAAGAAUGGGUGCUUAUAUGAGGCCUGCUAGAGUAAACAAUGGGGAUAGAAAGUAGAAUUGUGGGUGCCGGGGGAGGGGGAUUAGUGUUUGAUAGGUAGAGUUUCAGUUGAGGAAGAUGAAGAAGUGCCAGAGAUGGAUAAUUGUGAUGGUUGUACAACAGUGUGAAUGUACUUAAUGCCACAGAGCUGUAUACUUAAAAAUGGUUAAAAAUGGUUAAGAUGGU